AAAUUAAAUUGUUAUAGUAUUUUGUUAUUAUAAUGCAAUAUAAAAAAAUAAUUUGUUAAAUUAAAAGAGGAUUUAAAAUGUUAACAUAAAGUGCAAAAAUUAAAGUUUGCCAGGUUUAAAAUAUAACAAUAAUGUUAUAAAUAUUAAACAGCAACUUCUGCAGCCGUGAUAAGAAAAUAAGCUAAAAAUUCAAAACAAAAAAAGAAAAGCAUUACGUGGUGACUUGUUUAAAACGUUAGUAGUACAAUUAAUUCA